rnacentral:rRNA from 1 species
GAUGAACGCUGGCGGCGUGCUUAACACAUGCAAGUCGAACGGUGAAGGCGGAGCUUGCUCUGCUGGAUCAGUGGCGAACGGGUGAGUAACACGUGAGCAAUCUGCCCCUGACUCUGGGAUAAGCGCUGGAAACGGCGUCUAAUACUGGAUACGAGCUGCGAAGGCAUCUUCAGCAGCUGGAAAGAAUUUCGGUCAGGGAUGAGCUCGCGGCCUAUCAGCUUGUUGGUGAGGUAAUGGCUCACCAAGGCGUCGACGGGUAGCCGGCCUGAGAGGGUGACCGGCAACACUGGGACUGAGACACGGCCCAGACUCCUACGGGAGGCAGCAGUGGGGAAUAUUGCACAAUGGGCGAAAGCCUGAUGCAGCAACGCCGCGUGAGGGACGACGGCCUUCGGGUUGUAAACCUCUUUUAGCAGGGAAGAAGCGAAAGUGACGGUACCUGCAGAAAAAGCGCCGGCUAACUACGUG